GCAAAAGCGCGCUUGACUGCGAGACAGACACGUCGAGCAGGUACGAAAGUAGGUCUUAGUGAUCCGGUGGUUCUGUAUGGAAGGGCCAUCGCUCAACGGAUAAAAGGUACUCCGGGGAUAACAGGCUGAUACCGCCCAAGAGUUCAUAUCGACGGCGGUGUUUGGCACCUCGAUGUCGGCUCAUCACAUCCUGGGGCUGAAGCCGGUCCCAAGGGUAUGGCUGUUCGCCAUUUAAAGUGGUACGCGAGCUGGGUUUAGAACGUCGUGAGACAGUUCGGUCCCUAUCUGCCGUGGACGUUUGAGAUUUGAGAGGGGCUGCUCCUAGUACGAGAGGACCGGAGUGGACGAACCUCUGGUGUUCCGGUUGUCACGCCAGUGGCAUUGCCGGGUAGCUAUGUUCGGAAAAGAUAACCGCUGAAAGCAUCUAAGCGGGAAACUUGCCUCAAGAUGAGAUCUCACUGGGAACUUGAUUCCCCUGAAGGGCCGUCGAAGACUACGACGUUGAUAGGCUGGGUGUGUAAGCGUUGUGAGGCGUUGAGCUAACCAGUACUAAUUGCCCGUGAGGCUUGACCA
rnacentral:rRNA from 1 species